CCUACGGGUGGCAGCAGUGAGGAAUAUUGGUCAAUGGACGAGAGUCUGAACCAGCCAAGUAGCGUGAAGGAUGACUGCCCUAUGGGUUGUAAACUUCUUUUAUAAAGGAAUAAAACGAGGCACGUGUGCCUUUUUGCAUGUACUUUAUGAAUAAGAAUCGGCUAACUCCGUGCCAGCAGCCGCGGUAAUACGGAGGAUCCGAGCGUUAUCCGGAUUUAUUGGGUUUAAAGGGAGCGUAGAUGGGUUGUUAAGUCAGUUGUGAAAGUUUGCGGCUCAACCGUAAAAUUGCAAUUGAUACUGGCAGUCUAGAGUACAGUUGAGGUAGGCGGAAUUCGUGGUGUAGCGGUGAAAUGCUUAGAUAUCACGAAGAACCCCGAUUGCGAAGGCAGCUUACUAAACUGUGACUGACAUUGAUGCUCGAAAGUGUGGGUAUCAAACAGGAUUAGAUACCCGAGUAGUC
rnacentral:rRNA from 1 species